AUGUGGUUCGAAAAAUCCGAUAAAAUCGAAAUGAUAAAGAGAAGAUUAGCAUGACCCAUGUACAAGGAUGACGUACACAAAUCAAGAAAUUGUUUGAAUCAUG